AUAUACUUUGGAGUAGUUCCAAAUUGUAUUGUAAGUGAUCCAGAAUUUAUCCAAGAAGUUUUAGUCAAGAAAUUUUCAAACUUUGUCAAUCGAACUGUAAGUAAUAUAAUCUUAUUUCUUUUUCUUCUACUUGUUUGAAUUGUAUAUUUUAAGACUAGCUUAAGGUGACCCGCUCUACGCGCGGGUGAGGGUAUGGUUGUUACUUUCUGUUGCUUCCUUUGUUUCUUAUCGCCACAUUCUCCUUCUUUGUUUCUCUCUCCUUUCUCUGUCGUUUUCCCACUCUCUUACUCUUCCUUUCUCUCGGACUCUCCCUCGCUAUCUCUUACUCUCUUUUUUUAUCUCUCUCCCAUUUAUAAAAAAAACAAAAGAUCUUGAAUAAGUUGGGGAAGAAAAUAUUUAGAAAGAUCAAUCAUAAAUAUCAGGCAGUGGCAACGGAAAGCACACUUCCCUUUUGUACGUGCCCCUAUUUGAGCGAUUAAAAAUAAGGAAAAAAGGAUUUCAUUGAUAAAUUUAGUACUUAUUUUGGGAAUUGUUCGACGAUUGACCAUGCAAAUAAAAGCUCUAAACACGGGCUACAUGCAGCUGUAAAUUUCUUUCAGAAAAAAUGAAAGCUGUAGACAAUAAAAAAUAAAAGGCAAAAAUACGGGGAGAGCCUUCAACAGAAGAUAACUUAUCUGCAAGUGAUUUAGCAAGAAAUCUACCAAGGCGCUCUCUCUGACUACUACCGGACACUUCUCUUUAUAAGAGUACGGCUAGUCCAUUCUUUCAAUCCCCCAGGGAUGUCAAUGAUUCUCUCCACAACAAAGACUUUACCUUUUAUUCUUUCGGGAUCCAUAAAACAAGUACCAGUUGAACACUGGUCGGCACCAGCGUUCCACUGGUGCCGACCACUGGUGUAAUCGACUGGUGUAAUCGACUCAUCCCACCUUCUCUAAGCUACCUUUGUGGGAAAAGUCUGAAAUAAUAACAAUAAUUAUUAUUAUUCCUUUUUAGGUAUUUGAACAGGAUGAAAUCGCUAACCUUGGAAUUACAGCAGUAAAAGAUGAUCAUUGGAAAUAUCUGCGCACUGUACUGACUCCUUCUUUUACUUCACAUCAAAUGAGAGCAGUAAGUAUGUAAUUCUGAAUAUUUCUGAAUCAACAAUCAAAAAAUUCAUAAGUGCAGGCAUAGCUGUGCGGUUAAAAAGCUCUCUUUUCAACCACAUGGUUUUUAAGAACACAACAUACAGCCUGGAUUGCGGAUCGAACUUACUAUCCAGUUAAUUGUGAGUCCGAUGCUCUAACCAUAGAAACACACACACACACACACACACACACACACACACAUAUAUAUAUAUAUAUAUAUAUAUAUACUCAGACACACAUAUAGAUAUAUACAUACAUAUAUAUGCAUGUAUACAUACAUAUAUAUAGAUAUGCAUAUAUAUAUACCACAAGAAAACAGCUGUUCAUGCAGGAAUAAAAAAUUGUGCCCGCUAAAUGGAGCUUGCAUGUCCGAGACCAUCAUCUAUGAAGCUACCGUGGACUCUAUAACCACUAGAGACACCGUUUCGACGGAGAAAUACGUGGGCCUUACAGAGGGUAAUUUCAAGGCCAGGUUCAAUAACCACACCUAGACUUUUAGGCACUGGAACAAAAGAAAAGCGACAAAAUUAUCUAAUCAUAAUUGGUCUUUAAAAGAUAAAGGUGUCGAUUAUAACAUCCAUUGGAAGAUUUUGGCCAAAUGUAAGCCCUACACCAACGGCAGCGGAAAGUGCGGUCUAUGCGACAUGGAGAGAUGGCUUAUCUGGAAAAGCAGCUUAGACCCGACUACAUGUCUAAACUCAAGGACAGAACUUUUCGGAUCAUACACAUAUGUGACAAAAUUUUUGUUACGUUUUUGGUCCCCCAAAGAAAACAGAUAGAACUUGCUUUCUAUAUUAUGCUUUGUAUACUUCCUUAUGUUUUUUUCUGUUACCUUUAACCAUGGUUUUUCUUGUGCUUGUGCGUAUAUAGACGUAUGUAUGAACUUUUACGGUACGCAUGUGUGUGUGUAUGAGUUUGUAUAUAUAUGCGUAUAUAUUUGGCGAAAAAUGCGAGUGAAGAUGUGUACGUUUUCAUAGUGACGUAUAAGUACGCACGUGGAUCCACGAGCGCACAUGUGAGCGUAUGACUAGACAUGUUUACUAUGAAAUUUUAAUCUUAUUUUAUAUAAGUAGCAGAAUUAUAACACAGUAAUUUCCCUUUAUAUAACGGUAUUUUUUCAUAGCAUUUUUUUCAGAUGGCCAGAUAACCGAAGAGAUGGUGUUGUGGAUUUCCACUUCGGCAUCUGAAACUCAGAGUUUUAUCUUCACUAUUGAGUAAUUGUAACAUAUCAUUUUAUAUAUAUAUAUAUAUAUGUAUAUAUAUAUAUAUAUAGAUAUAUAUGUAUAUAUAUAUAUAUAUAUAUAUAUAUAUAUAUAUAUAUAUAUAUAUAUAUAUAAAUAUAUAUAUAUACAUAUAUAUGUAUAUAUAUAUAUAUACAAUAUAUAUAUAUAUAUAAAUAUACAUAUACAUAUACAUAUAUAAAUUCAAGAACAGGAAUUUUUUAUAUAUGCGUUUUUUAUAUUUGACUCUAUUGAAUAUAUGUCACAAUUAUGAACUAUUACAUCAUACUCUUUAAACAUAUAGCAUGGACUCUCUUUAUUAUAUAUGAAUUUUUUAUAUUUGACUCUAUUGAAUAUUAUAUAUGAAUUUUUUAUAUUCAUUUGUACACGUGUACGAAUAUGUAUGAGUGGGCAGUUUUAGAUGUGUGCGUGUGUGCGGGCAUAAUAAUGCAUAUAUAUAUAGACGUUUUUACUUAGUAUUUUUCCAUUUUUAAAGGUUUUUUUUUGGUGGGGGGGCAUAUGUAUAUUCAUUUUUCGUAUAUGCGUGUGUGUGUGUAUGAGUGCAUAAGGGCAUGUCCGUGUACGAACGUGGUUUUUAUGCUUUGUAUACUUCCUUAUGCUUUUUUCUGUUACCUUUAACCAUGGUUUUUCUUGUACUUGUGCGUAUAUAGACUAUGUAUGAACUUUUACGGUACGCAUGAGUGUGUGUAUGAGUUUGUAUAUAUAUGCGUAUAUAUUUUGCGAAAAAUGCGAGUGAAGAUGUGUACGUUUUCAUAGUGACGUAUAAGUACGCACGUGGGUCCGCGAGCGCACAUGUGAGCGUAUGACUAGACAUGUUUACUAUGAAAUUUUAAUCUUAUUUUAUAUAAGUAGCAGAAUUAUAACACAGUAAUUUCCCUUUAUAUAACGGUAUUUUUUCAUAGCGUUUUUUCAGAUGGCCAGAUAACCGAAGAGAUGGUGUUGUGGAUUUCCACUUCGGCAUCUGAAACUCAGAGAUUUAUCUUAACUAUUGAGUAAUUGUAACAUAUUAAUUUAUAGAUAAAUUUCCUCUAUUUACAUAAUAUUGAGGUCUCUUUCUUUCUUUUGUUAUCUUACCGUUUUUACCAAUAUAUAUAUAUAUAUAUAAACAUAUAUAUACAUGCACAUAUAAAUUUAAAUACUCAGGAAAUGGAAAAAAACUUUUGAUCAACAAACAAAUUGGCCAACAUCGGUUGAUUAUUUUUUAAUACAAAAACAUGACAUGACAUUCCUUACGGCCGUUUCUACUUCCAAUGUUAGUCGGUGCUAUCGAAAGGAAUUCCGAAAAUAAUAUUCGUCAUCUUCAUAGCACAUUCGAUAUAGUACAUGGAGCUUCAUCAGAGUGAAUACAAAUGCAAAUGAAAUAAACGAAGGGAAGAGGGAACAGGGAAGAGGAAAGAACAGGGCCUCGAGAUGAGGCCAGAAGGCUCAAUAUAUUAAAAUCAAACCAUCUUGCAGCGUGGAGCUUGAAGUCCAUUGGCAAUAUAAUAACCGUUGGUCCAGCCGUCUGGUCGUGAAGAGGGAAGAAAGAAAUAGACAGAGGGACAGACAAACAGAGAUAACGCUAAUUAUAGUAAGAUAUGCAUGUCAUAGGUAUACAUUUAUGUGUGUGUGUGUGUGUGUGUGUGUGUGUGUGUGUGUGUGUGUGUGUGUGUGCACUAUAUCUUAAAGAGAGCGUGUCGCUCUAGCAUGUGUAUAAGCGGAUUUUCACACACUCAAACACGCACAUGUAUACACAUGUAUACAUAGUUGUAUGCAUUUCUGAGUGGAGUUGGGUGCAUGGAAGGAUGGAUAGAUAGAUUGAGACAGAGAUAUAGAUUUGUAGGUAGAUAGAUGAAGAAAGAUAGUGAGAUAGAAAAAGACACAUAAUUUAUAUUAGAAUUUUCAUGCUUCCAUAGCCACUUAAUCUUUAGCAGUGGGAAGAUUAUAUCCAAAUACAUAAGUAACUUUGAAUAAAGAAACCGCAUGACAUUGGGUCAGAGGUCAGAGUUUAUUGCUUAAUUGAUUCCAAAAUUAUUGCCAGAAUAUCUUGAACAGCCUGUUUCUUGAACUACCAUUCCAUGUCUGUUGCAGAUGAACACAAUGAUUCAGACAUGUGCUGAUAAUUUGGUGGAAAAUAUUGAUAAGUUGGCAGAGAAUGGAGAAGUCACCGAAGUUAAAAAGUAUGUAAAACUAUUAAAGGAUUCUUUGUUAAUCAUUUAUCUUUUAUCUUUAACUUGUUCUAGUCAUUGGACUGCAGCCAUGGUGGGGCAUCUCCUUGAAGGGUUUUAGCUGAAUAAAUGGACCCCGGUACUUAUAUUUUCUUAAGUAUGGUACUUAAUCUAUCGGGGUAUUUUGUUGAACCGCUAAGUUAUGGUGACAAUAAGAAACCAGCAUCAGUUGUCAAGCAGUGUGCGGUGAGACAAACACAGUCACGCAUAAAUACACACAGACAUAUAUAUAUAUAUAUAUAUAUAUAUAUAUAUAUAUAUAUAUAUAUAUACAUAUAUAUAUAUAUAUAUAUAUAUAUAAUAUAUAUAUAUAUAUAUAUAUAUAUAUAUAAGAAGCAUUGGUAUCCAGAAGACGCAAGAUGGCAGGUAAGUCUAUUUAAGUGCUACAGGAGGACAGUAGUUAAACUCUCGGUCCGAUAAUAAUACGA
rnacentral:lncRNA from 1 species